UACGUAGGGGGCAAGCGUUGUCCGGAUUUAUUGGGCGUAAAGAGCGUGUAGGCGGUUUGGUAGGUCCGCUGUGAAAACUCGAGGCUCAACCUCGAGACGCCGGUGGAAACCAUCAGACUAGAGUCCGGAAGAGGAGAGUGGAAUUCCUGGUGUAGCGGUGAAAUGCGCAGAUAUCAGGAAGAACACCCGUGGCUAAGGCGGCUCUCUAGUACGGUACUGACGCUGAGACGCGACAGCGUGGGGAGCAAACAGG
rnacentral:rRNA from 1 species